AUGCAGAUUAUAAGGCUCUGCCCCAAGAGAUUCUCACACAGAGGGUCUGGGGUGAAACCUAAGGAUCUGCUGUAUCAACAGGCACCAGGUGAUUUGGAGGCAACGGGUUCAUAUUCAGGCCAUGCUGACUGUCCAGCCUGGGAGCUCCUGGAAGACUGGCAGGCCAGAUAUCUUCACCUCCAUGGUGUCCACACACUGGUAGAAAUAGCAUGGGGUAAGAUGAGAAGUUAUUUGUGUAAUUACAGCCACAAUAAGGGAGAGAGAGAGCAUCUGCAAUGAAGAUAGAUCACUCAGAGACUUCAUCUAUCCAGCAUGGAAUAAGGGGAAGGGAGGGGUCCUAAAGUGAGUUUAGAAACUGUUGUAUGGUCCAAAUCAGCUCCUAAGAAUGCUUUCAGCUGCAAGAAACAGAAGCCCAACUCAAAUUGGCUUAAACAAAAAGGACAUGUAUGAAUUAUGUGGAAUAGAUUUUCAUUGAAUGAAAAUCUAGAGGAGUUCAGAUUCAGGUAUGGUUUGAUCAAGCUUUUUGCUUCAUUUUUCUGUGAUUGUCACAAGUCUUCAUUCCUCUAUUGAUGAAUUUGCUUCCCCAGGCUAAUUCGUCUGAAAGUCUUUGGGUGGCUACAGUUGGCCAUCAGAAUUACCUUGCUUUCUUGUUCACAGAGAAGAAAGGAAGAUAACAAGUGAGGAGGCACUCGUUCCUUUUAGAGCAGACCUGCUAACAGGCAAAUUCCUGACUUAGCCUGUUGAUAAUUUCAUUUCCCAGAGGGUCAGAAGGUCACUUGGUAUACCUCAUAAAAGAAAACAACAAUUUCCUCUGAAGACUCUAAGCAAAUAUUUUUAUCUAUGUUGGCUGCAAUGAGCCUAGACAUCUCUAUUCUGAAGUCCAUUACUGAGGAAGGUUGAUAGGAUUGACUCAAAAUAAUCAGCCAGAGUGAAAGAAUUGAUAGUAUUUGUGAUGCAUUUCUGUGUAACAAACAACCACCGAGUCUCAACAAUAAGCAUUUAUUUAGCUCCUGUGUCUGCGUGUGGACUGUGGCUGUCUGAUGUAGGACUGGCCCAGCUAUUAUAACUUGGCUGGGUUUGCCUUGCUUCUCUGGUCCAUGUAGCUUCUCCUGGGAUUACAGGCAGGUUCUUCUCAUGAUGAUGGUACAAGUGAAAGAUGACACGUGGAAGCAUGCAAAGCCUCUUAAGGCUUAGGUCUAGAAGUGAUGCACCAUCACUUCUGUCUCAUUUUAUUGGCCAAAGCAAACCACGUUAAUUCAAAAGGAGAAGAAAUAUACUCUGUCUGGUUAGUGGAGGAACUUCAAAAUCAUAUGGCGGGUACUGUGGGCACAGCUAAGGGUAGGGUGAGGUGAGUGAGCACUGUCUUCCAAGUUUAAGGUGGAGGUGCCAAGAUAUUUAAUCAAGAUAAAUAUUUUAAUGAAAUAUUUUAAAAAAUCAAAAUCAAUGCAAAAAAAAACCAUCCUAAGCAUAGUGCCAAAUUUUUAAAUAAAGACAGCAUCAGUAUAGGGAAGCA
rnacentral:lncRNA from 1 species